UCUAUUCUUUGCAGACUGUCGUGGACAUUCUUUGGUAGGCAAUCUUGUUGGUGCUGUGUGUACCAAAAUUAGGCUACAUGUACGUACUGCAAACCAGAUGUAAUAGCCAUGCAUCAGGACCGCAAUAUACCUGUGUCUGCAAAUGAACCACAAUUUGUUGACCAUCCUUGACUUGACACAUCAGAAACGGUGGGAUGGAUUAUGAUGGGGCUCUGGAAAAUGAACGGCAAAUGUUGCUGCAAGAGCAGAGGGCCUGCAGAGCCCGUGUACAUAAAUUCUCUUCAGAGACCAGCCGACGCAGAAAAGCUCUGGAGGACCGCAGGAGACAGUGGGAUGUCCAGGAGCAGAGGAUCAGGGAGAACAUCCUGCAGCUGCGCAAGCAGAGGAUGCAGGAAGCUACCGAGCGCUUCCAGAGGGCGCACAUACGCCCUUCUCAGAGGAGGCCAGCAUUUGUGAGAAAGGCAAUAAAUAUGGAUGAAGCACUCAGUCUUAUAAAUGCCCGUGGAACUUAUGCAAAACCUUCUGCCUUACGUAGCAACACCUCCACGGGCAGAAAUUUUACCCCUACCCCAAGGCCUCACACAUUUUCCAAUUCUGCUGGACAUCAGAGAGAGCCGUUGGCCAUAGAAACCAACGCUAAGCAGGAAGAGAGACAGAGAAACCACAGAACCAGUCAGCAAUUCUUUCUGAAUGACUUACAGGAGGCCCAGGGUUUGCUCAAUGAUGGGGAAGCCACUCACCCUUGGGAAGAACAUGCCGAUCAGCCUAGUCCAACUGAGAGCCUAUCCAGUCAGGACAGUCUGGAGAUAGAGGAGCUUAAACACAGGCAGCCCUCGAAGUAUAGAGGAUGUUUUCAAUCUUCACCGGCAACCUCAGAGAAAGACAGCCCACAGUUACCAGAGUCAUACCCCAACGGACUAUGCCCAUCAUCGGUUAUUGUCCCUCACCAAGGAAAAAAACGCCUUUCUGAGUUCUUUCUUCCACCUUCAACAAAAGUUGACUAUUCUGAGGGGCACUCUCUUUUGAGAGAUGAGUUUGCUGAAGAGAUUGGGAGUCUCCAUAGCCUCACAUCAGCCAUAGUGCACCACAACCUUAAAGACCCAUCCCAGGACACCCAUGAACAGGACAUAUUUGCCCGCCAUAGUCUGGGUGCUCAGAUGAGAACGGAGGAUAAUCCAGCCUCUGCCGCACAUCAUAAUUGUAAUAGAACUAUUACAACUGCUGAGCUACACAAAGAAGCUGUGGUUAGCAAUCAUCAUGGCAAAACGUCAGCCUGUCCGGGUUCUCGGUGCACAGAGCUUACAUGUUGGGAACAGGAGUGCAGAACACUCUCAGAGCAGCUGAAAAUUCCAGAGGAAGACCAGUCUGAGAAUCAGUUCGCCACACAGGUCGAAGAGACAUCUUCAAACAUCUGUAAACAAAGAGAUACCUUUCACUAUAAUGCUACUCCUGUCACAGAUGCAAUCUCUCACAGAGUGUCAGGACCAGACAGCCAAACAAAUGAAAUUGUAAACUCACAUCAGUCAAAUAAGCCACAGUCACAAGCAGAUACCAUGCACGAAGAAGAAACAAAUGCAAGACUUUCCCGAACUGUGACUGUAUAUCCUCUGUCUGUGGCCGCUGACGUCAGAUUUAUGAAAAGCAUCCUUAAAAAACGAUCAAAAUAUGGGGCAGAAGAAACCAAGUAUCUGUACAACUCCGGCCAUUUGAUCAUCACAAAGCACAUGGCUUUGUCUCUCAGAGACAGUUUGGAGUUGAUGAGAGGAAAAACGAAGGAGCCAGAAAACGGCAAAAUGGUAAAGAAGAAACUGCGUUGGUUUGAUGAAGUUAAUGCCGAAAACCAUGAUAAAACUGUUAAUUACACUAGCGAGUCAACAUCGACUAAAAGUAGACUACAAGUGGGCUACCAGCAGGGGUUGAACCAAACAGCUGGUAUUCACGCUGAAGCAGUGAACACCAUUUCCACGGACUCGCCUGGCCCUCAAUGUCCGUUUGCCAGACAGGCAUGGGCAGAUGUUGCCGUACAGGACAGCAAACCACAGGAACACCCCCCUCAAGAGGGGCUGAAGACAGAGAGAGCUUAUUUGUGUUUGGGUGUCCCCAAAGUUCCCAGGAGAGCACGGUCGGCGCGGGGCGGAACUGGACACGCUUCCUCCCGUGUCAGGAAGGACACUACCUUGAGACCCCAGUCAGCCACUGAGGCCAGCCAUAUGAUCAAGCAACAAAGGAAGAUGAUGGUGCCUUGCCCCCCUCCUAGGCCCGAGGUGUCUGACCGAAGGCUGCCAGCCAGCUCGUCAAAGGCUGCGUACGCUGAUGACCAUAAGCAUAGCAGGUCAGUCCUUCCCGUGGACAAGACUCUCUACAGGCCAAACCCAGAUGGCCAUGCUGGCCCUCCGCCUGAUGAAGGUGCUACGUUUGCUCCAUACCCUCCCCCGUAUGGUUGCUCCUCAUCUGAGACUUUGGCAAAGGGCAGAGUUUCCUUCAGCCAACACGGCCACCAUGCCAAUGUUAGGAGGUGUGGGGCAGCUUGUGGAGAAAAUGGCAUUUGUCUGAACCGCACACCUACAGAUGAUGAAAUAUCACAGCUUUGGAGUGGGGUGAGAAGUGCCUUGUCCACCAAAGAUGAUUGUGCCAGCCUGGCCCAACUCAACGAUGAUUGUAUGAGUGGAGAUGUCCGAUCACUUGCAGGAAUGGGCGGCUGUCAUCUUUCCCCCUUCAAUGGCAGGCGUCCUGUGAGACGGGUCAUGGCAGAGGGUAACGGGAGCAAAAAGCAGAUGUUGGUACAACACACACUCCAGAUCCCUGGCUCAGGGAAUAAGAAGCUCUGCUUACCCAACCAGGCAACUCUGAUGACGAUACCUUUGCCAAGUAAAGUUCAAGAUCAAGGGCCGAGCCAGAGGAUGGGGCCACCUCAGUACGCUCCUAUCCUGAGUCUCAGUGGCUUGUCCUUGGAGGAGCAGAGAGUCCAGCAGUCUCUGGACAGGCUCAACCAACGGCUUCAAUAUGUGGUUGGAGGCAACCCGUCAGUUAAAAGACUUUUUCACACUGAAGCCACACAUCAAACUGUAUCUGUAAAGCAGGGAGAGAGAACAAACUCUGGCCAGAGAAGGCUCAGUACAGCAUCCAAUGCCCAUUGAUCCCCAACGAACAAAUGCUACUGAUACUGGGAUUCGGCAGUCCUUACAAUGGUUCAGGCCUCAAGCACUUUAUAUACUUAUGACUGUUGGGAGUGGAAAUAAAUCUGUCAUUGAUAGACUCACUCCACUGGAUGAUCAAGGUCAAGAAGUCAAAGUGAUGAUGACUUACUGCUACAUUGUAAGAUUGUAAUCUCACCUUGUAAGAGUUUACUUCAUCGUAUACAACUGCCUUCCUACAGCCUCAGCUUCUCAUCCUGUAAGGCAGGUUUGUAUAGGUUGUCAAACCCCAAACCAGUUCUUGUUUGCUAAAUCUUUGGUUUUACCUGGAGUACUGGUCUAAGUUAAGGUUAUAAGUAGAAUGUUGAAUCCUGAUAUAGAAUUAUUUCUUGUGCGUAACACUUUAAGCAAUAAGCCCCGAGAGGCCGUAGGAUCCAUUUAGAAUAAGGUGCUAAGGGGCACUGCUGCGAAGCAAGUAACUUUG